GAUUGAACGCUGGCGGCAGGCCUAACACAUGCAAGUCGAGCGGUAACAGGGGAGCUUGCUCCCGCUGACGAGCGGCGGACGGGUGAGUAAUGCCUAGGAAUCUGCCUGGUAGUGGGGGAUAACUCGGGGAAACUCGAGCUAAUACCGCAUACGUCCUACGGGAGAAAGUGGGGGAUCUUCGGACCUCACGCUAUCAGAUGAGCCUAGGUCGGAUUAGCUAGUUGGUGAGGUAAAGGCUCACCAAGGCYGCGAUCCGUAACUGGUCUGAGAGGAUGAUCAGUCACACUGGAACUGAGACACGGUCCAGACUCCUACGGGAGGCAGCAGUGGGGAAUAUUGGACAAUGGGCGAAAGCCUGAUCCAGCCAUGCCGCGUGUGUGAAGAAGGUCUUCGGAUUGUAAAGCACUUUAAGUUGGGAGGAAGGGUUGUAACCUAAUACGUUGCAGCUUUGACGUUACCGACAGAAUAAGCACCGGCUAACUUC
rnacentral:rRNA from 1 species